rnacentral:rRNA from 1 species
UACGUAGGGUGCAAGCGUUAAUCGGAAUUACUGGGCGUAAAGCGUGCGCAGGCGGUUUUGUAAGUCUGACGUGAAAUCCCCGGGCUCAACCUGGGAAUUGCGUUGGAGACUGCAAGGCUGGAGUCUGGCAGAGGGGGGUAGAAUUCCACGUGUAGCAGUGAAAUGCGUAGAGAUGUGGAGGAACACCGAUGGCGAAGGCAGCACCCUGGGUCAAGACUGACGCUCAUGCACGAAAGCGUGGGGAGCAAACAGG